rnacentral:rRNA from 1 species
UACAGAGGUCCCGAGCGUUGUUCGGAUUCAUUGGGCGUAAAGGGUGCGUAGGCGGCUUUCUAAGUCUGAUGUGAAAUCCUGGGGCUCAACCCUGGAACUGCAUUGGAUACUGGGAGGCUAGAGUACUGGAGAGGAAACUGGAAUUUACGGUGUAGCAGUGAAAUGCGUAGAGAUCGUAAGGAAGGCCAGUGGCGAAGGCGAGUUCCUGGACAGUUACUGACGCUGAGGCACGAAGGCCAGGGGAGCAAACGGG